GACGAACGCUGGCGGCGUGCUUAACACAUGCAAGUCGAACGGGCCUUGUCCCCUUUUUUUUGGGGGUGGGGUUAGUGGCGAACGGGUGAGUAACACGUGAGUAACCUGCCCCUCACUUCUGGAUAACCGCUUGAAAGGGUGGCUAAUACGGGGUGUUCUGGCCUGCUCGCAUGGGUGGGUUUGGAAAGAUUCGACUGGGUCUGGUUGUUUUGGUGGGGGAUGGGCUCGCGGCCUAUCAGCUGGUUGGGGGGGGGAUGGCCUGCCAAGGCUUUGUCGGGUAGCCGGCGUGAGGGGGUGGGCGGUCACACUAGGAGUGAGACACGGCCCAGACUGCUACGGGGGGCAGCAGUGGAGAAUAGUGCACAGUGGGCGCGAGCCUGAUGGAGCGACGGCGCGUGAGGGGUGGAGGCCUUGGGGUUGUGAACCUCUUUCGCCAGUGAAGGAGGUCCUGCUCUUUGUGGUGGGGUUGACGGUAGCUGGGUUGAUGAAGCGCCGGCUAACUACGUG
rnacentral:rRNA from 1 species